rnacentral:rRNA from 1 species
UGGGGAAUAUUGCACAAUGGGCGCAAGCCUGAUGCAGCCAUGCCGCGUGUGUGAAGAAGGCCUUCGGGUUGUAAAGCACUUUCAGCGGGGAGGAAGGCGUUAAGGUUAAUAACCUUGGCGAUUGACGUUACCCGCAGAAGAAGCACCGGCUAACUCCGUGCCAGCAGCCGCGGUAAUACGGAGGGUGCAAGCGUUAAUCGGAAUUACUGGGCGUAAAGCGCACGCAGGCGGUCUGUCAAGUCGGAUGUGAAAUCCCCGGGCUCAACCUGGGAACUGCAUUCGAAACUGGCAGGCUAGAGUCUUGUAGAGGGGGGUAGAAUUCCAGGUGUAGCGGUGAAAUGCGUAGAGAUCUGGAGGAAUACCGGUGGCGAAGGCGGCCCCCUGGACGAAGACUGACGCUCAGGUGCGAAAGCGGGGGGAGCAAACAGG